rnacentral:tRNA from 2 species
GCCGUCGUAGCUCAGCUGGCAGAGCAGCGCCCUCGUAAUGCGCAGGUCACCGGUCCGAAUCCGGUCGAUGGCUCCU